GGAUAACCUGCCCUUGGGUCCGGCAUAACCCCGGGAAACUGGGGAUAAUUCCGGAUAACGCACAUAUGCUGGAAUGCUUUAUGCGUAAAAUGGAUUCGUCUGCCCAAGGAUGGGUCUGCGGCCUAUCAGGUAGUAGUGGGUGUAAUGUACCUACUAGCCGACGACGGGUACGGGUUGUGAGAGCAAGAGCCCGGAGAUGGAUUCUGAGACAUGAAUCCAGGCCCUACGGGGCGCAGCAGGCGCGAAAACUUUACAAUGCGGGAAACCGUGAUAAGGGGACACCGAGUGCCAGCAUCAUAUGCUGGCUGUCCAGGUGUGUAAAAUACACCUGUUAGCAAGGGCCGGGCAAGACCGGUGCCAGCCGCCGCGGUAACACCGGCGGCCCGAGUGGUGAUCGUGAUUAUUGGGUCUAAAGGGUCCGUACCGGUUUGGUCAGUCCUCCGGGAAAUCUGAUAGCUCAACUAUUAGGCUUUCGGGGGAUACUGCCAGACUUGGAACCGGGAGAGGUAAGAGGUACUACAGGGGUAGGAGUGAAAUCUUGUAAUCCCUGUGGGACCACCUGUGGCGAAGGCGUCUUACCAGAACGGGUUCGACGGUGAGGGACGAAAGCUGGGGGCACGAACCGGAUUAGAUACCCGGGUAGUCCCAGCCGUAAACGAUGCUCGCUAGGUGUCAGGCAUGGCGCGACCGUGUCUGGUGCCGCAGGGAAGCCGUGAAGCGAGCCACCUGAGAAGUACGGCCGCAAGGCUGAAACU
rnacentral:rRNA from 1 species